CCGCAACCAAUCAGCGCGGCCGCCCCUCACGGUCCGGGCCGUCGUCACCGCGCGCUUGUUUUGGUCCGCAAAUGCCUUUUGGUGCCGCAGGGGGAGGGUUGGGGGGCGGUGGCUGUGAGGGCUGCCGUGUGCCGCGCUUGCUGGGAGAGCAAAAGGCGAAACGUGGCUGUUUUCUUGUGUUUCUAACACUUCUGUCUGUGAUGGUGGCAAUAUUUUUCUUCCCAGGUCUAGCUCCUGUAGCCUGGUCUCCAAACCUGCAACAUGUUUACGCUUUCCUUUUUAUCCUGGUGGUAAUGCACACAGAAUGAAAAUGUGAAGUAAAGUCUAGAACACUUAAAAUGCUGUAUGGAGUAAAGUUUGUGCAAGUGAGAAGCUGAGCUGGAGAUUGGAUCCUGCUGAAAGCAAGACAAGAAUCGAUCUGUAACUUCAUUCAAUAUUGCUAUUGGACAAAAGCAUUUCUCUUGCUAUUUAAAUUAAAAAAAUCACAGGACUCAACAGAGUUUUCUAGCAGUAAUAUUUUAAGGAUUUAAUUCUACUGAGUAAUAAAAGGAAAGAAGGAUUUUACACAGACCAAAGCACCAACCAGGGAUUUGUAAAUGCAGUGGUGCUUUGGUGCCUGACAGUGCCACUGAUUUUCAACUGAUCUUUAUAAAAUAACUUAUUUAAACCUGUAUUUCAAUGUGGAAAUAAAAGUGAAAUUAAUAAGGAACAAAAAGUGUAUGUGACAAUAAUAUUGUGCUGUAGACCAGAUGGUUAGAAAAGCAAGCAUCAGGAGGAAGUUGCUGAAUUGGAUGUGUAAUUUCUUAUAUCUGCUUGAGCUUGUUUAUGCACUGAUUCCAUGAACUAUUGAGUACCUGGUGAAUACAUAUGUCAGAGUAUGUUUGGGUAAUUGGAGCAUGUAUCUGUUAAAGAUACAAACUUUGAAUUUAGACAUUUAACAGUUUCAACAUAUGAGGGAACUGGAAAGUCCCAAUAAAAUGUAAUAUGAAAUGAAGUGCAUUCAUGUAUCCAUUCACGCCCUGUUUUAGAUGGAAACAAAGGAACUACAGCCAGAAUUAUUCACUGACUUUGAAUGCCUUUGACCUGGUAUUUCAUAGUAUAUUCAUAACAUUAGAAUGCCUAUAGUUCUCUAGAAUUAACUUCCAAGAAUACUAAAAGAGGAAAGAAGAACAAGUUAUCUCAGUCAGUUUGGUUUAGAUGAAGAGCAGGUACCCUAAAGCUCAACUUCUGACUGUAGAUAGCUGCAAUUCCUUUAUGAUCUGAAGUCUAUGAAAUGUUAAACUACAACAAUGAGA
rnacentral:lncRNA from 1 species